rnacentral:tRNA from 1 species
GCCCUCGUCGUCUAGCCUGGACAGGACGGGAGCUUGCGGAGCUUCAAACCGGGGUUCAAAUCCUCGCGAGGGCA